rnacentral:tRNA from 1 species
GGUAUAGCUCAGUGGUAAAGCAUGGGCUUAGCAUGCAUGAGGUUCUGGGUUCGAUUCCCAGUACC